AAAGCUCAGACGUAAUGGUGAUAGAUGAGGUUCAGAUGAGAACUAUCUAAACAGUUCAAGAACUGAAGAAACUGUAUUGCUACUUCGUAUAUGUAAUUUUGCUGACGGUGUCUUCAACAUCAGUGGUAGCUCAUUUUAUAUAAGAAUAUUUUGUAGACAAUGUCUAUUGGAAGCAUGUUGUGCACCACAUCGAAGCAUGUAAGGUUGUACUGCAUGGACGUGCUGAGUUUGAGGCAAGUGAUGUUAUCUUAAAGGUUAGUGUUUGGAACAUGGAACACUACAGACUGAAAGCACAAUGGAAAAUCACAUGAUGAUCGUUACUGAUGUUCGAUUUAGAACAAAUCUCCUGAACAUAAUAUGGACAAGUAUGACGGUAGAGUUUGUAUGAGUUCAGAGUCGUUGAGUAGAAUAGAGGCAAUGUUUGAAGCUGAACUUGAGAGGUUGGGGCUAAACAGGAGUACUUCUACUUUGGAGAGAAGAUUAACUGAUCUUGAUGAGGUACAAAGUCUAUGCUUAUCGUUGCAAUUUUAAGUUUAAGCAGCACAAGUUUAUCUUUUGUGUACUGAAAUUUUGUGGGUGGAUCCAAUUCACUUGAAACAUAGAAGUAGUGAAGAAAACCCUCAUUUUCGUUCUGUUUUACUUGCUUCCAAACAGUGUUCAUCAAGUUUCUGAGGAUUACAUUUGGGAAAGCUCUAUACUUUACAGACCAAUGUUUACAUCAGAGGAAGUGGAGAUUCUCAGUCUAAACCAAUUCUUGCUGGCUAUUCGUCAUGCACACCUUCGGUCAGAAACCAUGUUGCUUCUUCACCAUCCCAUGGUUUUCUCUCUCAGUUUUGGCGGCCAUAACAUCAGCAACUAGAACUUACCCGGUGGCUCCAAAUGGUCACAGAACACAAGGCCUAGGCGCUUUAGAGAUAAGUGCACCAGCUGUGAACAACAGACUGCUGCUGUUAGAUUUGCAGCACCAGAUCAAGGUGCAAGUGGCUUCUCAGGAUCAUGCUUAUGUUCUAUCAAACU